rnacentral:rRNA from 1 species
GACGUAGGGUGCAAGCGUUGUCCGGAUUUAUUGGGCGUAAAGAGCUCGUAGGCGGUGUGUCGCGUCGGCCGUGAAAACCUGCAGCUUAACUGUGGGCUUGCGGUCGAUACGGGCAUCACUGGAGUUCGGCAGGGGAGACUGGAAUUCCUGGUGUAGCGGUGAAAUGCGCAGAUAUCAGGAGGAACACCGGUGGCGAAGGCGGGUCUCUGGGCCGAUACUGACGCUGAGGAGCGAAAGCGUGGGGAGCGAACAGG